UUAUACAUCCAAGAGGUGCAGGCCAAGGGGGAGGAUGACCUAGGGCACCCUUGGGGCGUUCUCCUCCUAGUUGGGGCGCACCACAACUUGAGCCUAAGUCCCAAGCAAACUUACAAGGCCUAAGGCCUGACAAAACGUGAUGCAACACCCUGACAGAUUCUGUACAUCCACUUGUUUCGAUGAUUCUCAUUGGCUUUGAUGGAAUUUUGACAUGCCAUUG
rnacentral:lncRNA from 1 species